UACGGAGGGGGCGAGCGUUAUUCGGAAUUAUUGGGCGUAAAGGGCGCGUAGGCGGCUUGGCAAGUCAAAGGUGAAAUCCCUCGGCUCAACUGAGGAACUGCCUUUGAAACUGUUUGGCUUGAGUCCGGGAGGGGGUAGCGGAAUUCCCAGUGUAGCGGUGAAAUGCGUAGAUAUUGGGAGGAACACCAGUGGCGAAGGCGGCUACCUGGACCGGAACUGACGCUGAUGCGCGAAAGCGUGGGUAGCAAACAGG
rnacentral:misc_RNA from 1 species